rnacentral:rRNA from 1 species
GAUGAACGCUGGCGGCGUGCCUAACACAUGCAAGUCGAACGAACUCUAAAUUUACUUCAAAGGUAGAACGUCGCUGAAUGAGAGCGGACAUAUAAUUUUUCAGAUUGUACUAGUUUACAGAUGAAAAACUUCAUAUGUCUGCUAGGCAUUCAGCCUUAAGUCGGAGUUAGUGGCGGACGGGUGAGUAACACGUUAGUACCUGCCCUUUAGUGGGGAAUAACUCGGCGAAAGUCGAGCUAAUACCGCAUGU